UGCUGUGAGAGAGAGAGCGCACUCGAUUGACCGGACGGAAGCCGCAAUUAGCAAUUAGCAACAUUAUUAAUUUAUCAAAAAUCAACUAAGUGGCAAACGACGACUCAAACAAAACGCAACGCAACGCAGCGUUCAACGUUCAACAGCAUAUGUUUAAUGUAUGCAAAUAUGAGCAGACAGAGCAAUUAGAAUGGUCAGUAUAUGGAUAAUAACUACAGUUGUAACCUUCAGUAAUCCGAUUUGCGAUGCGCAGGAAAUAAAACUACA